rnacentral:rRNA from 1 species
GACGAACGCUGGCGGCGUGCUUAACACAUGCAAGUCGAACGGAAAGGCCCUGCUUUUGUGGGGUGCUCGAGUGGCGAACGGGUGAGUAACACGUGAGUAACCUGCCCUUGACUUUGGGAUAACUUCAGGAAACUGGGGCUAAUACCGGAUAGGAGCUCCUGCUGCAUGGUGGGGGUUGGAAAGUUUCGGCGGUUGGGGAUGGACUCGCGGCUUAUCAGCUUGUUGGUGGGGUAGUGGCUUACCAAGGCUUUGACGGGUAGCCGGCCUGAGAGGGUUAACGGCGACAUUGGGACUGAGAUACGGCCCAGAAUCCUACGGGAGGCAGCAGUGGGGAAGAUUGCACAAUGGGCGGAAGCCUGAUGCAGAAACGCCGCGUGCGGGAUGACGGCCUUCGGGUUGUAAACCGCUUUCGCCUGUGACGAAGCGUGAGUGACGGUAAUGGGUAAAGAAGCACCGGCUAACUACGUG